GUCGGUGUGGUGUAGUGGUUGCACGCUUGGUGAGGCUGGUCGACGACCGUGUAAGGCAAGAAGCGUUGGUUCGAUCCCAGCCUCCGACC